UGGCGGACGGGUGAGUAAUGUCUGGGAAACUGCCCGAUGGAGGGGGAUAACUACUGGAAACGGUAGCUAAUACCGCAUAACGUCGCAAGACCAAGAGGGGGACCUUCGGGCCUCUUGCCAUCAGAUGAACCCAUAUGGGAUUAGCUAGUAGGUAAGGUAACGGCUUACCUAGGCGACGAUCCCUAGCUGGUCUGAGAGGAUGAUCAGCCACACUGGGACUGAGACACGGCCCAG
rnacentral:rRNA from 1 species